rnacentral:rRNA from 1 species
GAUGAACGCUAGCGGCAGGCUUAAUACAUGCAAGUCGAGGGGCAUCAAGGUACACGAAAGUGUAUUGUUGGCGACCGGCGGACGGGUGAGUAAUAGGUAGGUAACCUACCUCAUACUGAGGCAUAGCUGGGAGAAAUUCCAGGUAAUUCCUCAUGAGGUUAUAUGACACAUGUGAUAUAAUCAAAGGUAUCGCAAGGUACUGGUAUGAGAUGGGCUUACUGACCAUUAGCUAGUUGGUGAGAUAAGAGCUCACCAAGGCGAAGAUGGUUAGGGGUUUUGAGAGAGAGAUCCCCCACAUUGGAACUGAGAUACGGUCCAGACUCCUACGGGAGGCAGCAGUAGGGAAUAUUGGGCAAUGGGCGGAAGCCUGACCCAGCCAUGCCGCGUGAGGGAAGAAGGCCUUCGGGUUGUAAACCUCUGUCAUGGGGGAAGAAGUAAGUGACGGUACCCCAAGAGGAAGCCCCUGCUAACUACGUG